rnacentral:rRNA from 1 species
AUUGAACGCUGGCGGCAGGCUUAACACAUGCAAGUCGAGCGGGGUGAUGGUGCUUGCACUAUCACUUAACGGCGGACGGGUGAGUAAUGCUUAGGAAUCUGCCUAUUAGUGGGGGACAACAUCUCGAAAGGGAUGCUAAUACCGCAUACGUCCUACGGGAGAAAGCAGGGGAUCACUUGUGACCUUGCGCUAAUAGAUGAGCCUAAGUCGGAUUAGCUAGUUGGUGGGGUAAAGGCCUACCAAGGCGACGAUCUGUAGCGGGUCUGAGAGGAUGAUCCGCCACACUGGGACUGAGACACGGCCCAGACUCCUACGGGAGGCAGCAGUGGGGAAUAUUGGACAAUGGGGGGAACCCUGAUCCAGCCAUGCCGCGUGUGUGAGGAAGGCCUUAUGGUUGUAAAGCACUUUAAGCGAGGAGGAGGCUCUUUUGGUUAAUACCCAAGAUGAGUGGACGUUACUCGCAGAAUAAGCACCGGCUAACUCUGUGCCAACCGCCGCCGUAA